rnacentral:rRNA from 1 species
CUAGCCGGUACUCGCGAAUGCAUCNAGANGUUUAUUUGAUCCUGGCUCAGAGUGCCCGCUGGNUGUGGGCCUAACACAUGCAAGUCGAACGGCAGCACAGAGGAGCUUGCUCCUUGGGUGGCGAGUGGCGGACGGGUGAGGAAUACAUCGGAAUCUACUCUGUCGUGGGGGAUAACGUAGGGAAACUUACGCUAAUACCGCAUACGACCUACGGGUGAAAGCAGGGUGAUCUUCGGACCUUGCGCGAUUGAAUGAGCCGAUGUCGGAUUAGCUAGUUGGCGGGGUAAAGGCCCACCAAGGCGACGAUCCGUAGCUGGUCUGAGAGGAUGAUCAGCCACACUGGAACUGAGACACGGUCCAGACUCCUACGGGAGGCAGCAGUGGGGAAUAUUGGACAAUGGGCGCAAGCCUGAUCCAGCCAUACCGCGUGGGUGAAGAAGGCCUUCGGGUUGUAAAGCCCUUUUGUUGGGAAAGAAAUCCAGCUGGCUAAUACCCGGUUGGGAUGACGGUACCCAAAGAAUAAGCGCCGGCUAACUUCGUGCCAGCAGCCGCGGUAAUACGAAGGGUGCAAGCGUUACUCGGAAUUACUGGGCGUAAAAGCGUGCGUUAAGUGGUCGUUAAGUCCGUUGUGAAAGGCCCCCUGUGGGCUNCAACCNUGGGAACCUGGCAGUGGGAUUANCUNGGGGCGACUNGCAAU